AACGAACGCUGGCGGCAGGCCUAACACAUGCAAGUCGAACGCUGUAGCAAUACAGAGUGGCAGACGGGUGAGUAACACGUGGGAAUCUUCCUAUCGGUACGGAAUAGCUCAGGGAAACUUGAGGUAAUACCGCAUACGCCCUUCGGGGGAAAGAUUUAUCGCCGAUAGAUGAGCCCGCGUCUGAUUAGCUAGUUGGUGAGGUAAUGGCUCACCAAGGCGACGAUCAGUAGCUGGUCUGAGAGGAUGACCAGCCACACUGGGACUGAGACACGGCCCAGACUCCUACGGGAGGCAGCAGUGGGGAAUAUUGGACAAUGGGCGCAAGCCUGAUCCAGCCAUGCCGCGUGAGUGACGAAGGUCUUCGGAUUGUAAAGCUCUUUUGCCAGGGACGAUAAUGACGGUACCUGGAGAAUAAGCCCCGGCUAACUUCGUGCCAGCUGCCGCUGUAA
rnacentral:rRNA from 1 species